GACGAAACUGCGAUGAAUUGAGGGAAAUUACCCAAACUGCGUGAAGAUGUAGCCGCAGGUGAAUAUUCCUGAUCAUGAUUACUCCGUUUGACGAUUUUGUCUAUCUCAUCAACAAUGUUCUUUUGGGGGAAGAGCCGUUGGGACAAUCGUGGCUUUUGUCGCUUUCGUACUCUGGUGCUGUUUCCCGGUCGUUCCAAAGGACUCGCAGACGCCGCUCCACUAUGAAGGUAAAGACUAUCAGCUCAAGUAUAACCAAAGGAAAGUUGAUUACUGUUCCACAUAAGUCUUAAUCGAUUUCAUA